GACACAAGGGAACCCAUUUGGAUGGCACUGGUUCACUCAGCCUGGUCAAACCCUGAUGUGAAAGAAUUAGCCAUGUUUUUUCCAAGCACAUCAAAGGCUGCAAGAUGCAAGGUUUCCUACGGAUGACACGUGAAGCAUGAUAUAGGAAAGGAUGAAAGGCAGGCGGUGGCAGAGCCGCUGCCUGCAGUCAUGUCCCACUUGCGUUACGUGGCCUCGUGCCAGCCUCCGGCUGGGACUAGCUGCUGCGGAGAUUGCCGGAGAUCGGUGAUGGUAGGUGUCUUCAGAUCGUCCUUGGUGAACCGCAUGAGAUCCACAAUUGUCCUCCUGGAAGCGAAGUACAGAACUGCACAAAUGUCUAUCAUGUAACACAGACUUUUUUUUUUUAAACUUGUAGGGCUCCGAUGCGGUCCAUGAGUCACAUCAGGCUUGACGUCAAUUAGA